UGGCAAGAAUUGAGCACCAAAUCCUAAAGAGGCCAACCCCCUCUUAUGUGGCAUGGUGUGGACGAGAGAGAGUGGGCCACGCCCCUCUCUUAUUUGGCUAGAAAUCCCUUUGUGGGGCGCCAAUUCUUGGCGCCCCAACUACCUAACAUAUAUUCCUAUGACGCUUCUUGUACAUGCUUAAAGGGGUUGAUCAUAUAUCAUUUAUAUCUGAUUUUAAUUGAAAUAAAUCAAAUUAAAUAGGUAGAAGAUUCU
rnacentral:lncRNA from 1 species